GUGGGAGAGAUUAAGCUGAAGGGAGGUCUUGUGGUAAGGGGUGAUAUUGUGGGGAUGUUAGAAGAAAUGUUUGUCGUAUAGAAUGAUUGGCGAUGGCCUGGAUACGGUUUUGGAUGAAUUGAGAAACUGGAAUAAGAGAAGGAGAAAAACAGGUAUAAAAGGUCUAAGAAUUGGGACGACUCAGGAUAUCUGAUUAGAGAGUGCCUAAGGAGAUUCAGCAUAGUCCUGCCAGCAAAGAUUAUUUAUUUACUUCAAGAGUUAAGAGUGGCAGUUUGGGGAUAGCACCAGGAGAUAUCAGCUGUGACGGCUUGGAAAAACAGUGUAAACCGGCAGUGUAAACAAGAGCAGGGCACGUAUGAGUAGUUGAGAACGGUGACUAGGAGUAUGACUAGACAGAAGAUAGUAGGGAUGACAAUUUUUUUGGAGCACCGUCCAAGUUGGUCUGGUGUCUGGAAUGAGACUGGGACCUAAUAAAAAGGAGCGUCUAUACAGGAGCUCAAAUGGGCUGUACCCCGUAGCAUUCCGAGGACAGGCCUGAAUUCUGAGAAGGGAAAGUGGUAAAAGUAUUGUCCAGUCCUUUUUAAGUUGGUGGCUGAGCUUGGUGAGGUGUGUUUUUAAAAGACCUUUAGUCUAUUCUACUUUUCUUGAAGACGGAGGACCGUAAGGGAUAUAAAGGUUUCACUGAAUACUAAGAGCCUGAAAUACUGCUUGGCUGAUUUGACUAAUAAAGGCUCGUCUGUUAUCAGACUGUAUUGAGGUGGGAAGGCUAAACUGAGGAAUUAUGUCUGACAGAAGGGAAGAAAUGACUGGAGUGGCCUUCUCAGACCCUGUAGGAAAGGCCUCUACCUAUCCAGUGAAAGUAUCUACCCAGACUAAGAGGUAUUUUAGUUAUCUUACUUGGGGCAUGUUGAGUAAAGCUAAUUUGCCAGUCCUGGGUGGGGCAAAUCCUCGAGCUUGAUGUGUAGGGAAGGGAGGGGGCCUGAAGAAUCCCUGAGGAGUAGUAGAAUAGCAGAUGGAACACUGAGAAGUUAUUUCCUUGAGGAUAGAUUUCCACGAUGGAAAGGAAAUGAGAGGUUCUAAGAGGCGGGCUAGUGGCUUGUACUAUAGCAUAACCUGCCUUUGCUGGUGUGUGGCGAUUAGGCCUGGUGGAACCGCCAUCAAUAAAUCAAGCGUGAUCACGGUGAGGAACAGGAAAGAAGGAAAUCUGGGGAAAUGGGGUGAAUGUCAGGUGGAUCAGAGAGAUACAGUCAUGGGGGUCAGGUGUGGUAUCAGGAAUAAUGUGGGAGGCCGGAUUGAAGUCUGGGCCAGGAACAUCGGUAAUUGUGGGAGACUCAACAAAGAGUGAGUACAGCUGAAGGAGCCGGGAAGCAGAAAGUAUAUGCGUCAGGUAUGAGGAAGAAAAUAGAUUUUGGAAGUUAUGAGAACUGUACAGAGUGAGUUGAGCAUAGUUUGUGAUUUUGAGGGCCUCUAAAAGUAUUAAUGCAGCGGCAGCCACUGCACGCAGACAUGAGGGCUAGGCUAAAACAGUAAGGUCAAGUUGUUUGGACAGAAAGGCUACAGGGUGUGGUCCUGGCUCUUGUGUAAGAAUUCUGACCACGCUAACCAUGCCUAGGAAGGAAAGGAGUUGUUUUGUAGAAGGUGCUGGGGUUUGAGAGAUCAGUUGGACACGAUUGGCAGGGAGAGCACGUGUGUUUUUAUGAGAAUUAUGCCGAGAUAGGUAACAGAUGAGGAAGAAAUUUGGACUUGAUUGAAGUAAUGGGGGCUGUCUGUGAAGCUUUGCAGCAGUAUAGCCUAGGUAAUUUGCUGAGCUUGAUGGGUGUCAGGGUCAGUCCAAGUGAAAGUGAGGAGAGGCUGGGAUUAAGGGUGCAAAGGAAUAGUAAAGAAAGCAUGUUUGAGAUCUAGAACAGAAUAAUGGAUUAUAGAGGCAGGUAUUGAGGAUAGGAGAGUAUAUGGGUUUGGCACCACAGGGUGCCAAAGGUGGGAUAGGCAAAACAAUUUGGUUGAUAAGGUGCAGAUCCUGAACUAGCUUGUAAGGCUUGUCUGGUUUUAGGACAAGUAAAAUGGGGGAAUUAUAAGGAGAGUUUAUAGGCUUUAAAAGGCCAUGCUGUAGCAGGCGAGUGAUAACAGGCUUUAAUCUUUUUAAAGCGUGCUGCGGGAUGGGAUAUUGGCGUUGAGUGGGGUAAGGGUGAUUAGGUUUUAAUGAGAUGGUAAGGGGUGCAUGAUCGGUCGCCAAGGAGGGAGUAGAAGUAUCUUAUACUUGUGGGUUAAGGUGGGGGGAUACAAGAGGAGGAUGCAAAGGAGGCUUUGGAUUGGGAAGAAGGGCAGCAAUGAGAUAUAGCUGUAGUCCAGGAAGAGUCAGGGAAGCAGAUAAUUUAGUUAAAGUGUCUCAGCCUAAUAAGGGAACUGGGCAGGUGAGGAUAACUAAAAAGGAGUGCUUAAAAGAGUAUUGUCUAAGUUGGCACCAGAGUUGAGGAGUUUUAAGAGGUUUAGAAGCCUGGCCGUCAAUACCCACAACAGUUAUGGAGGCAAGGGAAACAGGCCCUUGAAAAGAAGGUAAUGUGGAGUGGGUAGCCUCCGUAUUGAUUAAGAAGGGGACGGGCUUACCUUCCACUGUGAGAGUUACUGGAAGCUAGGCAUCCUUGAUGGUCUAGGGGGCUUCCGAGGCGAUUGGGCAGUGUCAGUCUUCAGCAACUAAGCCGAGAAGAUCUGGGAAGGAGUCAGUCAGAGAGCCUUGGGCCAGAAUUCCAGGGGCUCUGGGAGUGGCUGCCAGGUGAGUUGGACAGUCCGAUUUUCAGUGGGGUCCCACACAGAUGGGACGCGGCUUAGGAGGAAUCCUGGGCUGCAGGCAUUCCUUGGCCUGGGGGUCAGAUUUCUGGCACUUGUAGCAAGCUCCUGUGGGAGGAGGUUCUGGAGGAAUGCCUGGCAGCUGCGGUUCAGGCGUUUGGAAGUUCUUGUGUGCUGGAGAUGUGGCUGGGAUUUGUCUCACAGAGGAGCCUCUCUCUCAUCGGAUGGUGAAGAUACUUCCCUAAAGCUCCCAUCCGACCACAUCAUUCCUCUGCUCAGAUCCUUUGAUGGAUGCUUGUAAGAGGAAAGAUGGUUCCUGUUUAUUCACCAGAUAGGGUUCCAGGGGUGAUGCCAAGUGCCUGAUGGAAAGACGAAUGUCAAGGAGCCUGCAGGCCACUCAGCAGCAAGGCAGGAAUGCAUCGUGGAGGCAGGACCAUGACCUCUGUUGGGGAGCAGAUGCUGGAGAACAGCUCCGACUCCUCCCAGCACUGAUGCUGCCUUCCCACGAGCACCUGUGGAUUCCUCCCAGCCUGGCUCCUGCUUUGACUGCAGGAUUUGCUCCGUCUCCUCUCCAAUGAUGCCUCCAUCUUUGCUCAGGGAAUUUGAAGAAUCUCCAGGAGGGCCAGAGAGUAGACUUGGAUGCCACCCAGCCAGCAAUAGAGAAGUUGGGACCACCCAGCCAGGGACAAGGCCACACCUCAGCCAUCACCACCCACAAGCAACGCAGCAUGUAUGAGCUGGGACAGGACACCAGAAACUACCUCAUGAUUGCUCCGGAAGAAGCAGCUGCAGGUGCUCAGCCAUCUUUAUUUCCUGCCACCCCCAAACUAUGAAGACAGCAAAGCAGCCUGUGGAGAGGCUGCUCACAGAGGCAACCCCACCCUUACUUGGUGAUGGCACGUGGAACUCCACCUCCCAGGUGGAAAAUGGAAAAAUUGUUUCCUUCUCUGAUCUACUGCCUGAGCUGUCAUCAGGAUUUUGAGGACUGACUUAAUGAAUAAAAUAUAAAGGCUUAGCGUGAGCCUGGGAUAUGCAUGGUGGAAGAGAAUAAAUAGCCUUUUGUAUAUCAAAGAUACUUUCUGGGUAACCCAAUCUGAGAAAUAGCUACUUCAGCCACAUCUGCUGUUAGGGAAGGCUGAGAAAAUAGUGACUAUAAAAUGAAAUGAGGCUUGUAGGUGAACCACAUGAAAUCCUGUGAACCGGGGAGAAGUCACCAGCUAUUACAAUGGAGUCUAGCUAAGAAGGGGCACGUGGGGGUGGGGAGAUCGUGACCAAUCAACAGUGCAGCUUGAAAAUGUGGGUUUUCUCUUGGGAAGCUUCAUUCCCUGGGAAGGAAGAAGCUAUAACGAAACAGGAGCAAUGAAGCUUUGCCUGGAGAGGAUGCUGCUCACAUUUGCAUGUUAAAUGAACUGAGGCCUCUCCUGGCUCCCCUUGGAGGGCUCUCAGAGGCAGCUCUAGCCUCAGAGGGUCUCUUGCCCACAUCUUACUCUGGUUCAGAGCCCACAUCCCCAAAGAGAGCCUUGUACACAGCAGGUAUUCAAUCAAUAUUUGUAUUAAAUUGCAUUUUAAAAGCUGAUUACUUGAGUGACCCCUUCCCCUACCCACCCCCAAAGACUGUCCUCCAGUAUCUCUUUGUGCAUAUCCUGAAUUCAAGCUGCAGUGAGAGGCUUUAGCAAGAGAGAGAAAACCCACUCUAAAAGCUUCAUUUGCGACAAUUUCCAUUUUAUUUCUCACCACCACCAGCCUUUGGACGAACAGGUCCUAAAGAGCUAUGGAAACAGCAUCGUGGAAACAGCACGAUACAGUUAUUGAAUGACUGGUCUGGGCCAAGCAUUAUUCUCGGCGCUGGGGAUGCAGCAGGGGGCCUGGAUCAUACUCAAGGUCACUAGAUACUUGUUACAUGAGUGAAUGAAGUCAUUCAGUACUCAUUGGCUCCACUGGGCUCUGACUUGCUGGGCAUGACAAGCCCACCAGGGAGCCCUGGAUAUCCCUCCUCUUUCCAAGCAGCUGGGGAAGCUGGUUGCCCUGGAAACCUGUUUUAGGUGGCAGCAUCUUCCUCCAGGAGGUCGAGGUGUCUCCUGGACCUUAGAGACUCCAGGACACAGGACAGAGCUCUGAACUGUGGAGCCGGGAAACCUGGUUCCAGUCUCAGCCCAGAUUUACCAGCCGUAGACUUGGCCAAGUCACUCACAAAACCCAAAGGGUGAGGCAGAGCUGGCCCUGCCUGCAUGGCAGGGAGAUUUUGAGAAGCAUGAAGAGAGUCAGGAAGUGCCUGGGGAUCGAAUCCACCCAGCAGUGCAAGGCAUUGCUCUCCCAAUUCUCCAUUGGGAAAAAAAAAUCCAGACAAAGACAGUACAGAGAAUAUGGUAGCCAAUACUGCAGCAGUCACCACCCGGAAAAACAGACACUAAUAUAAUAACUUGUGAUUUUUGCUUCAUAUCUCUGUGGCAUAAAACCAUGACACAUAAAGUUUAUGUCCCCCUUUAACCAUUCCUCAAUGCUAUUCCCCUCCUCUCUCCCCCUCCUCAACGGCAACCACUGAUAUGUUCGCUCUAUUCUGUGCUUUUCAUAUUUUAAAUAUAUUGUUUAUGGGAAUGAUCAUAUAUAAGAAAUAUAUUAUACUGUUUGUUUUAAAAGUUUGCAUAAAUAAUAUCAAAGUAAAUUAUUUAAGUGUCCCCAGCAGUCCCUGUCCCCGUCCACCUUUCCCUCAGUUCUCUUCCAUCACAGUAAAGAAAACUGCCCAAACCUGGUCACCGCCCCUGGACUUUCGAAGUGGCUUCCUACUUGGGGUCCUGCUUCCAACAUUGGCCCUGUGAGUGACAAGGAUCUCAUUCCUUUUGUGCUCAAAGCUCUGGCCUCUCUCUCCCUCCUUGGCCUUGCCCAGCCCAGCCCCACCCCUGUCCUCAGAACCUCACACCUGUCGUUCCCCACCUGGGGUGCCCUUCCCGCUGGCUGGCCCCUCACCUCUCUCAGAUUUCUGCUCUAAUGACAGUAACUGGAGAGGCCUUGCCUGAAGUCCCCUCCUCUUUCUCCUUACCUUGCUUUUUGGUUAUGCAUCCUCCUCCUAAUUGCUUUAUUUAUUUAUGUGUUUAAUCACCAUCCUCUUACUUUUCUAAGGCUCGUCCUGAUUUUUUUCACAUCCUGGUAUCUGAGCCGGCAGUGAUUCUAUACCUGGCAGCAGCCUGUGCGGCAGAGCUGUGUGUAAAGGGGUCCAUGCAGAGCCCUGGGAGAAAGAAAAAUGAAGGGGAAAAGGUUGACCUGAGCUUUUUCACCUGGGGCUGGAAAGUGGACCAGAGCCUAUCAUUCCAACCUGCAGGUGCCUAAGGCCCAACAGAAAGUUCACCAGGAAAGACCAAGAGAAUUGGGGUGACCCUCCCACAGUAUCAGAGGGAAGGGGAGUGGGGAGGAGUACAGCAGUGCAGACCAGCCCCACAGGUGCUUAGCCAGGCCUUUGGUUCUGCCAGGGAAAGGAGGGUGCCUUCCACAGCAUGAAAACUACACCACGUCCCAAUGUGUCCGGGACCUGCCGCCAGCCGCCUGCACAGUAGUCAGGUGGAUGCCACCGGGAUACAGCCCACACUGACUCCUGACCCCAGGGGGUACAGCCCACGCUGACUCCUGACCCCAGGGGGUACAGCCCACGCUGACUCCUGACCCCAGGGGGUACAGCCCACAUUGACUCCUGACCCCGGGGGUUACAGCCCACACUGACUCCGGACCCCGGCGUGGGAGGGGCUGGCCCGAGAUGAAAUCUCGAAGGUGGGUCAGGCUAGGUCCUGGAGUCAGGGGAAGCGUGGGGUUCAGGCCAGGCCUGGGUUCUCCCUGAAGUGAGGCUGACUCUGAGCCUUUCUUGAAACCCCAAAUGUCACAGCAGUGCCCCGAAGGUAGGUGAGGCUCUGUUGCAGGGAAUGCUGAGGAAAAAGGGAACAUCAGGGAUUGGUCUGGCCUGAAGCCUGCACUCCCCUAAAUUAUACCCUGGUAUGAUUUGGGCUUGCCCUGGAGUUACCUCAACUAACCUGGGGUCCUUGGGGGAAACAGAGAUGGACAGGGUUGAUGUAUAUUUCGGGUUGAUUUGGACUCUAAGGAUUAUCCCAGCUCAGACCUCGCUCUCAAGGAAUAGGAGCCUGGCAUCUGUCUAUCACCCCCUUGGCCCUGGGUAUAGUCUGGAUGAGCAGAGGCACGCGUGUGGCCCCAAGAGUCCCACCCUCUGGCUCUCUCCUCCCAAGACAUUCUGGAGCCAUGACAUGUCUCCCAGGAAGGGAGAAUUAUUUUUGUCUGUGGCAUAAAUAAAGCCAGGAAUGAGUUCCAAUAAUCACAAGCACAUGCCAGCAUGUGGAGGCUACUCUGACAGCAGCAGAAGGUUCCAGCACUGCCUGCCCUGCUGGUCCUGGCUGCAGGGAGGUGACCGGGAUGGUCAGGGGUCGGGAGCAGGAGGGAGCCUCCAGGAUUUUAUUUAAAAUGAUCAGGUUUUUCAAACAAAUGGAAAAAUAAAAAAAUCUUGAAAACAAAUCUUUUAAAAAUUUACCCACUUCACUCCAGAUCUUAAGAAAUAAAAAUAAAACAUGACUAUUCCUCUAGAAUCCUGACCCAUACCAUACAACUCUCUUCCCAGAGGUCAUUGCCAACAUCGAUUUCUAUUUAUUUUUCUCAUGCUUGCUUUAAUAUUUCUACUAUAUAUGUAUGCAUCUAUAAAUAAACUCUAUGUGACAUUGUUUUGUGUUUUAAAAUCCUUUGACUUUUUACUGUACAUAUGAUUCUGCAACUUGCUUUUUAUUUUAGAAAAUUAGGGCA
rnacentral:lncRNA from 1 species